UACAGGGGGUGCAAGCGUUGCUCGGAAUUAUUGGGCGUAAAGCGCGCGUAGGCGGCUACUUAAGUCGGAUGUGAAAGCCCUUGGCUCAACUGAGGAAGUGCACCCGAAACUGAGUGGCUUGAGUACCAAAGAGGGUCGCGGAAUUCCCGGUGUAGAGGUGAAAUUCGUAGAUAUCGGGAGGAACACCGGUGGCGAAGGCGGCGACCUGGGUGGAUACUGACGCUGAGGCGCGAAAGCGUGGGGAGCAAACAGG
rnacentral:rRNA from 1 species